rnacentral:rRNA from 1 species
GACGAACGCUGGCGGCGUGCUUAACACAUGCAAGUCGAACGGAAAGGCCCUGCUUUUGUGGGGUGCUCGAGUGGCGAACGGGUGAGUAACACGUGAGUAACCUGCCCUUGACUUUGGGAUAACUUCAGGAAACUGGGGCUAAUACCGGAUAGGAGCUCCUGCUGCAUGGUGGGGGUUGGAAAGUUUCGGCGGUUGGGGAUGGACUCGCGGCUUAUCAGCUUGUUGGUGGGGUAGUGGCUUACCAAGGCUUUGACGGGUAGCCGGCCUGAGAGGGUGACCGGCCACAUUGGGACUGAGAUACGGCCCAGACUCCUACGGGAGGCAGCAGGGGGGAAUAUUGCACAAUGGGCGGAAGCCUGAUGCAGCAACGCCGCGUGCGGGAUGACGGCCUUCGGAUUGUAAACCGCUUUCGCCUGUGACGAAGCGUGAGUGACGGUAAUGGGUAAAGAAGCACCGGCUAACUACGUG